GUCUGUUAUUGAAUCACAUGAGGACAAGGUGCUGUGUGCUGACUGGUGGAAAGGGGACAGCGUGGUCAGUGGUGGGGUUGACUGCAAGCUAUGCAUUUCUUCUGACAUUGGUGUUGUGUAAGUACCUGUGUCUUUUUCUAAAGUGGAAAAUUAUGGAGAAAGAUGGAAGCAACUUCUGGAGAACAUGGUUUUGCUACUGCAAGGAACAUUUUCUAGGUCAGCCUUGAAAACUCUAUAAUCGGCAGUGAGAUGGGAGAAACUUAAUUCUCUCUAUUAAAUAAGGAGCUGAAGCUGAUUGAAGGGCCCAAGUCAAUUUUGCUCAAGACAUUUUGUUGUAAUGUGCAUGCUGAAUAGUGGCAUUUCUUAUAUGAGUCGUUUCUGGGAGGAUACUGC
rnacentral:misc_RNA from 1 species